rnacentral:rRNA from 1 species
CCUACGGGAGGCAGCAGUGGGGAAUAUUGGACAAUGGGCGAAAGCCUGAUCCAGCCAUGCCGCGUGUGUGAAGAAGGCCUUCGGGUUGUAAAGCACUUUCAGUGGGGAAGAAAGCCUUGGGGCUAAUACCCUCGAGGAAGGACAUCACCCACAGAAGAAGCACCGGUUAACUCCGUGCCAGCAGCCGCGGUAAUACGGAGGGUGCGAGCGUUAAUCGGAAUUACUGGGCGUAAAGCGCGCGUAGGCGGUCUGAUAAGCCGGUUGUGAAAGCCCCGGGCUCAACCUGGGAACGGCAUCCGGAACUGUCAGGCUAGAGUGCAGGAGAGGAAGGUAGAAUUCCCGGUGUAGCGGUGAAAUGCGUAGAGAUCGGGAGGAAUACCAGUGGCGAAGGCGGCCUUCUGGACUGACACUGACGCUGAGGUGCGAAAGCGUGGGUAGCAAACAGGAUUAGAUACCCUAGUAGUC